CUCAGUAUCGAUUGUGGGUCCUCAGGAAAUGUGGGCUCCUAGAAAAUCCACAACCUUUCUUGGUUUGGAGGAUACUGCAGUGCAUGUUUAGGCUAAGACACAUUCCCCUAUUAGCUUGAUCUAAGGUUUUUUGGUGUUGGAUUUAUGCAAAAUGAUAUUUAGCUUGCAGCUCUUUUAUAACUCAGAUUCAGAUUCAGCGAUAACAAGUUUGCACAUUCCUCCUGUGUUGUCAUUAAAGCUAAAAUCUAUCUCCCCUCAGGGCCUCAGAGACAACAGGGCGCAAAACAAAUGUGCUUCAACAAAAUCUGUAAAAAGAGUUGCUGUAAGGGACACCCAUUCUGUUGGACCUUUAAGGAGGUGCCAGUGACUGUGCAUUCAUCAGAUUUGUGGUGAUGGACAGGCUUUUGCACUGAGAGAGCCAAUCAAAUGAAGCCAUCGGCUAAUCCUUUCUGUCACUGCAGGCUGCCCCGGCCAGUCCCACAGAAAUCAUGCAGGACUACACAGUUAAUUCUGUGGGAAAAGUGAAGGCUGAUAUAUGAAAGAAGAGUCUCCAGCCAACCCCUUUUAUUGCUGUUGCCAGGUAAACAACAACAGCUCAUCUCUUUAAGCCUCACUUGACAUGCUGGCUCCUUGCAUUUCUGUCAUAUGAAAUAAAGAUGCAGACACAAAGAUUUGUGCAGCUGCAG